rnacentral:piRNA from 1 species
UUUCAGAAACAAGGAUAGGGAAAUAG